rnacentral:lncRNA from 1 species
AUGGUGGAGGUUGGUUGGGGCUCGGGGGGUAGGGGCACCGGCCAGAAAGAGGAGCCCCUCCCAGCCAGCACAUCCUCCCCCCUCACACCCCCUUGGUGCUCCUUCUCCAGGCUCAACCCUGGAUCUGCCCUCCCCUUGGAGAGAGGUGGGGGGCAAGAAUUCAGCAGGAAGGGGCACUUUGGGGGCCCCCAGGGAGCCCAGGCUGAUGGGGUCCCCACAGGAGACCAGUGCUUCUGGUGGCCUCUCUCAGGGGCCAAGAGGCUGGAGAGGGGCACUGCUCUGUGGGGGGGGAAGGUAUUGUGCCCUUUCUUACCUCUCAGGAUGGGGAGGCCUCCAAGAGACACAAGAAGCCGUGGUCUGGAGAGGAGGGAGGGUGACGGGCCGUGGCCAGCUGAGCUGGAGGAGGAUGCGGGGCCGGAAGAGGCACAGGGGAGGCCAGGGCUCAUGGGGGAACCCGUGCCAGUCCUCCAUCAGCACCCAGAAGGCCACUGCCACGGCCACCAGAGUGAAGGCCAAGGUCACGGUUGCCGGCAUCAACAGCCGCCGGAGCAGCAGAGCGCGGUCCUUCCAGGGUCCCGCCAGCAACACGUAAGGGACCAGCUGUCCCUGGGUGGCCACCUCGUUCGCCGCCGCCAGCAUCUCCACCUCGGCCGGGGCGGGCGGCAGGUUCCACACCACUCUCCAGCACGCCAUCGGGAGAGAAGGGGGCGAGGAGGAGGAGGAAGAGGAGGAGGAAGGGGAAGAAGAAGGACCAGGGAAAGGAGAGCCAAGAGGAGGGGGGGAGGAGGAAGAGGAGGAAGAGGAGGAAGAGGAGGAGGAAGGUGGACCAGGGGAAAGGAGAGUAAGGAGGCUGGAGGUGGGGCAUCUGGUGGUGCAUCCCGAGCAUCGCUGGUUGCUCAGAGCAACGGUGAACACUUCGGCCUUGGGUGUGCGUGCCUUCAUUUAAGCCCCGCCCCUGGAUGUGCACACCUGGCUGCUCUCUGGCUUCUGCACCUGGGAUGGAGGAGGGUGGCCGAUGGACUGGCCCAAGGCAUGAUGCCGCCUGAGAUUAAGGGGUGGAGCGGGUAUCAAUGCUUCACCACCAGAGUGAAGGCCAAGCUCACGGCCAUGGCUGCGGGCAGCAGCACCCACCAGAGGAGCAGAGCGCAGUCCCUCCAUGGUCCUGCCAGCAAUACAUAG